GUUCCCAGGCUAGGGGUCUAGUCAGAACUAUAGCUGCUGGCCUACGCCAGAGCCACAGCAACGCAGGAUCCGAGCCGCGUCUGCAACCUACACCACAGCUCACGGCAACGCCGUAUCCUUAACCCACUGAGCAAGGGCAGGGACCGAACCCGCAACCUCAUGGGUACUAGUCAGAUUCGUUAACCACUUCACAACUGUUACCACAUAGUCAUUUCUCUUUAUAAAGACAUGUCCAGCAGCAGUGUUAUUCUAGUUCGUCUUAGAGAAGGCAAACAUUAAGGGGAGUGGGGUUAACAAGACAUCCUGAGGGUUGUGUCAGAAAAUGGGGGGGGGAGGGCGGCUUCAAACCACAGGAUGAGGCCCCUUCUCCCCAGGUUGUCUGUCACAGCCCUAGGGCAUCAGCGCUUCUGAUGUGAUGGUGCACUUGUGAGCCCUUUUGAUAUCAGCCUGCAGGAGGCAUCAAGCUCUCCAGGAGGGAGCCUUGAAUGGGGAGUCAGGCAAUCAGGGCUCUAGCCCUGUCGGGACCUGUCACUGACCAGUUGCUCCAUCUUGCUGUGCCAAUCUCCUGCCUCUUAAAGGAAGGGGCCAGAUCAUACCACCUCAAAAUUCUAUCUAGCAAAGCCUUUCUAGGCUUUUGGAAAGACCAUAUGAUCUAAGAGGUCUGACAGCUCAUCAGAACUCUUUUUACCAAAUUCUAUUUUGUUUUCUUUCUGUUUUUAUUGAUAUAAUUUACAAUGCUGUGUUAGUUUCAAGGGUACUGCAAAGUAAUUCAGUUGUAUAUCUAUCUAUCAUCUAUCUAUCUUCAGAUGUUUUUCCAUUAUAGGUUAUUACAAGAUACUGAGUAUAGUUCCCCGUGCUAUAUACAUAGUAGGGCUUUGUUGUUUACCUAUUUUAUAUAUAGUAGUGUGUAUCUGUUAGGCACAAACUACUAAUUUAUCUCUCCUCCUCCCCUUCUUACCACAUUCUAAACCCCUCUCUACCCUCUCUGGCUUUCUCUUUUUACCAAUCACUUGAAAACUGCAGUCAGUGUAGACGGUUCAUUUUUUGAUACUCUCUCCUCAUACUCUCAGUUAUCUUUCACUAUCUUUGAGACAGGGAGGAAGAGCGAGAGCUGGGCUCCUUUUCUUUCCCUCCUCUGCACAGGAGACAGGGAGUAAAUGAAUUCAUAUUCAUGGAAACUUUCAGCUUCAUAGGAGGACUAUAAAUGCAGCAAUGCAGAUUACUAUUACAUCUGAUAAUUUCAGCAUCUAUUGUUGAUCAAAGUGACAGAGGACAACAAAUGAAUAUAUAUUUGACAAGAUUUUCUUUUCCUUUGAUAGCAAUGACCUGGGAAGUUUUAUUUUUGUAUGAGCCCCCGAAAUACUUAAAACACCCACAUGUUACACUCAAGGUUAAAAAAAAAAAAAAAUCUUCCUUAGAACCAGUAAAUCUGAAACUGUAUAGUAUGACACCCUUCAGUAACCAAACUCUCAUUUUCUUAAAGGUACAGUUUAAGGAGAGCAGUAGCAUCCCCAAAUUAUACUUUGUAACCUUCUUUUUAAUACCUUUUGGUUCUUGAGAAAGCAACCCUUCCACUCUCCAUGAUAUCCUCCCAUGGUUUUCUAUAUCUUACCACUUUCAAAGUACAGGUAAAAAAACUGCUUCUACAUUUUCCUCUAAUUAUUCCAAUCCACUCUGACUAGUGUCCCAGAAACACGUCUAACUUUUUUUUAAAAUGCCUUUUCAUAAAAUAAUUUUUUUAAUCAUCUAUCUUCUUUGGCACAUAAUAAACUCACUUAUUGGCUGUGCUACUCACAUUAAAUUUCACUCAUUCAGCAAACUGCUAUUGGAGGUAGUGGUUAUCUCUUUUUGUUCAUCCAGCAUCCAUCUAUUUCUUCUGGUAACAGAACCUUUCCUUUUCUCUGGAACCUGUUCCAUGAGGUCCAGGUUGGACCGAUCUCUUCCUCCCUGUCUCAGUGGGGAACAUAGCCAAAGUCACUUCAGAAUCACUCUUCAAGGACAGUGGCAUGAAGAUACCAAUGCUGAACACAGAACACCACAUCUUGCUCUGCUGCCAGCAGAACUGGAUGCUGACUGUGCCACAGCCAUGGCCACUGCUGCUACCCCAGGUGACUGGAAGUUACUACUCCUGUUGCUGCCACGUCACAAGACUCUCCAUCAUCCCCGCACUCGGAGCCCCGAGCUCUCUGAUCAGAGCUCAGAGUAGGUGCAUCUGACUGCCCAGCUGCAGGUGGGUUCCGGUGGAGUAAGCAAGCCUGGAUUGUGUGUUUUUAUAAUGGAAGGUGGGCUCUGCCUCCCUCAAAGGCCAUAUUGUGGGGAAUUCACCGAAUAAAGCAUGAGAUCUAGUAGCUAGGUGGUCCAAAAAUGACAAAUGUCAACCAUGAUCACAGGUGUAUUUUCUUUUCUAAAAUGACUACAGUUUCUCUGGAAAGAAUGAAAACGCAUGGCUUCUUUCUCCCCCUCUCCUUUCUGAAUAUGUUAAAAUCUUUUGGAAAAAAACAUGGCUUCUUAAAAGCUCUUUGAAGACAAUUUCAUCCGUCAUGGUAUCAUCACCACAUGCCGGUGUCUUACUGAUACUUGACACUUUGGGAACUGAGGUUUGCAUUUGGCAGUAACCGCUCUCCCCCUGUGCUGUCCGGUCUACCUUCCUCCCCAACUCAGACACCCCCUAAUGCUGCUGCUGGACCAGGUCUCUUGGUGGACCUGUCUCCCCUUCUGG
rnacentral:lncRNA from 1 species